CCUCCUCGGUCCGCUGUGGCAGAGGGGCUGGGGAAACCGAGGGCUGGAGAGCGGGGUUCCGGGCGGGGCUCCGGCGGUUCUCUUUCAGCCCUUGACUUGGGGAUCGCUAGGGCCCAGCAUCGUAAGCAGUGGCGGCUGCCGCAGGGUGGAGGCGACUUGGCCCCAGGGGACCUUCCCCUGCGAUCGGUCCAGCGGAGGCGGGCACAGGGCUGCUUAUUGGCUGGUGAGGCGGGCGGCCGACGGGAGUCGGCUAACGAGGCCUCCCGGGUGGGCCGGGUUCCGAGUGCAGGGCCUGCCGAGCGUAAAGGAGUCGCGCGGGCUGCGAUACAAUUGUAGGCGUAGGACGGUCGCUGACUCCACUGAGGCACUUGAUCACCCAACUUGAAGAGGCCCUGGUCCCCUGGGGCUUGUUAAGUUCUGCGCAGAUGAUGAGGGAGGCGGCACCCUGGGGUCUGAGGACUGUAGGGACGGUCCUUGGUGGCGGGAACCCUCAUGGAUCAGCUGGGGUCUGUGGAGAGUCAGAACUACUUCUGGUAGCCCUUGGGAGGGCUUCUCGGUGGCUGUGGUUAAAGAUAAAAUCACAGCACGAGCCGAGGAGCUUAAGUCAGAACCUGGGUCUUGUCACUAACUGAAGGAAACAGUUAUCUCCUAAGCACUCAGAGCUCAUAGAGAUAUUGCUGCCUGUUGGGCGUGAACCUGGUAAAAUCCACGUGAUGAGGACAGUAUCUGACAUUCAUUGAGUACCUGCCACGUGCCAGGUUGUGCUGAGUGCCCCGCACGCACCAGGCAGGUAUUAACAUCACCAUCUUACAGGGACUCACAGUGGGUGCAGUUGGGCUUCUGUGAGGACAGAUGAGAGACUGCAGGUGUGCUACCGAAUAGUUUGGAGUCACUCUAAAGCUUCAUCAACCCUAAACUUACUUCCCAAGAGGGCAAGAGAAAUGACUUUAACUCAGCAGAAACUUGUUCACUCAUUAGAGAAAGUCUGAGGAAACCUCCAUUCCGCUUAGACUCCAAGCCUCAGAGGAAAAAAGAAAAUGGACACGUGAAGAUCCGGAUGUGUGCAGACGCCACCCAGGCACUGUCUGGGAGACCUGUGGCCGGACAGCCGAGGGCAGUGACCACAUCUGUAGUCUGAUCCCUACAAUGGGGAUGGAAACAGCAGCUGUCAGCGCUUGGAGCCACUGAAAUUUGAAUCUUAAGACCCACUCCCAGAUCUCCCAGCUUCCCCUGAAACUUGUGUUCAAAGAGGGCUGCAUUCCUGGCAGCAGCACUGGUACCACUGACAACGGAUGGGCCCUUGGUGAGUUCCCCUGUGCCCUGGCUCUCUGCUCUUCUGUGUCCACUUCCUGGAGGACAGGGCACCUGGUCUCAGCACCAGGGCAAACCUGAGGAGCAGACCAGGGUUGGUGAGCCUGUCUCUGGACAGCCUCCCUCUGGCUCCCUAACCACAGGGGCCCCACUCCGCCACAAGCUGCACGAGAGCUUCUCUACCCUCAAAUCCUACGUGAAGGAAAUGGAUCAUGAGGUUUGGGUGAUCAAGAAACUGAUUUACAAUCUCUGAGGAACAGAGAAGCCUCUAUAUUACGCCCGGGAGACAGGUGAGAUGAGCCUCACCGAGCACCUCUCCGGAUCCCACACAGUCCUCAUUCCUGGAUGGCCUGAAGAUUAACUCUGAAGCCCUCCUUGACGAUGCCUCGCUCCUCAAAACCUGCAAACCCUCCACGGCCUCCAGGACAGAGCCCAUAGUCUCCAGGAGACAAAAAGCCAGGCCCUGCCAGCUCCAGAGUCACAUUCCCAUCUUUGCUACAUUGCACCUUUGCUUGUGCCGCUUCUGUCCCCUUGUGCCGUCAUCCCACCGUCUGCAAGGCAGUUCCAGUCCUCCUUCAUCAAGCCUUCCUGGCCUCUACCACUGCCUCCACCGCACUCCUGUGUUACCCCCAACAGGACCCGAGGAAGCACCAGACAGGCUGCGUCUCCCUCUCCCCACGAGGAGCCCACAGUUGAGGACAGGACUCAGAAAUCCCCCUUCCCGUUCCCUUCUUGACCUGUGUGAGGCAACACCUUGCUCCUCCCCCCAGGCCUGACAAUGGGGAGCCCCUGGGCCGGCACCCUGCUGGCCUUCAUCCGCACCUCCCGACUUCUGAAGACCCGGUGUUCCUGGCUCGGCCUGGUGGGAAGGAGGUCUGGGUGGCUGUGCCUCACACCUGUUCCUCUCAGGCCUUCCUCCUUUCCCCUUGGAUUGGGUCAACUUGGGAAAUCUGAUCCAAAACUUUUUUUUCUCAUUAAACCUUGUUUUAAUGGGUCUCAAAAUUCUGUGACAGAGUUUUGGUCCAGUUGUUUCCAUUAAAAAGUUCUGAUUUGGGGACUUCCCUGGUGGUCCAGUGGCUAAGACUCCGCACUCCCAAUGCAGGGGACCCAGGUUCGAUCCCUGGUCAAGGAACUAGAUCCCACAUGCCGCAACGAAGAACCCGUGUGCCGCAGCUAGGACCCAGCACAGCCAAAUAAAUAUUAAGAAAAAAGUGGUUCUGAUUUUAAAAACUAGUAACUUGAAACUGCCAUGCAACACCCCUGCAACAACGGUCCACAAAACAUUCUCUUUUUCUUCUGAAGAUUUUAUGAUGCAUUGUUCUCAUUAGCCAGUCUUUUACUAUUAAACCAAAAUGGCCAAUUGAGACUGUCCUGAGACCGUUCUUCCACCACAGGCUAAGAGUUGGUGGCAGGUAUUAGGGACAAUACAGUUGACCCUUGAACAACACAGGUUUGAACUGUGGGUCCACUUAUAUGCAGCUUUUUUUUUUCCAAUAAAAAAAUCUAGGGUUGUUGAAUCUGCAGAUACGGAACUAAAGUUAUACUCGGAUCUUCAACUGCGUGGAGAGUUAGUGCCCCUAAUCCCCACGUGGCUCAAGGGUUAAGUGUAUUCGUUUAGCCUUCUGAACUUUCCUGCCAGCUCCAGUACAGCAGACUUCUCGCCUACUGCUUUGAUGACACUCACAGCUGCUGUCCAUCUCAUGUCACAAAUACCAAAAUGGCCCAGAGAAGGAUCGUCAGAGAAGCUCUCAACACACAUGGGCUUGCUGGGGACCAUUUCAACGAACGAAGCGUCACGAGGUUUCAAGAAUCUGGGGCCAUCUUCCAGACUCUUCCCAGAACAGUGAUCAACAUUCUUCACCUUAGUAGACUUGCAAGCAGCAGAUGCCCAGCCAGUGUUGACACAGCCUGGAUGACUCAGGAUAGUCACCUGGGCUGUGAAGCCAGCCACCUGCGUUGCUGGAUCAUUUUUGCUGUUGCCACGAUGAGCAACUUUAACAGACACGUUCUUGACGCUGAAGUCCACACUCCCCAAGAAGAGCUUCACUCAAAGCUACCACUGUGCACGUGGACAAAGGUGACCACUCCGCUGGGUUUGAGAACCCCCAUCUCCUCUCAUCCCACAGGCUUGGUGCCAAUGCACUAAUUGUGUGGAUGUGCUGGAGCGGUGGACGCGAGGGCUUGUCAGCUGGACGGGCUGUGGGCAGCUCGGUUCCACUGCACUGCCACCUCUACCAGCAGGAGACCCAAAGGGAGCAUUGGGAUGGAUUAUGGGCUCGUGUUUUCCGGCUAGAGGAGACAAGUGGAUGACACUGAAUGAUGGGGUUUGGCGGAGGGCAAUGGAGAGGAGGACCCGGACGUGUGUCCAGCAGCCUCCCAGCCUCUCGGGCCACCUUGGCCCCUCCCACCUGGACUGGACCCAGAGAUGAGUGCCCAGGGCUCCUUGGGGGGAGUCCCACCUUCUGUUCCCCAGGGUUACUAGCCGGAGCGCAGGCAAUGGCUCGGGACACUUGUGGACCCACGUCUGUGUUCAGGGAAGCCGGACAGUUUGGUGGGCACAGCUGCUCAAUGAGGUCAUGUCCUCAGGUGUGUCCAGGGCAGGGACUGGCUCCCAGGACCUGUGCACUGUCCAGGACGUCUGCCUGCGCCUUAGGUCUGCGAUCAUCCGACCGCAAGGAGUGGGGGCCCUGGGUGUUGCUCACCGUGAGGAGGAGACCCAGCUGGGAGGACACAGAGUUGGCUCACAAAGAGGGCAGGAGGCUGUCCUGGAAGCCUUGGACCCCUCUGUCCCCAGGACUUUCUCUCCUCUCUAUCUCUCUGUGGAGGCUGGCUCCUCUGCUUCUCCACGUGGGGCCCCUCACCCUGGCACUCAGUGCAUUGUCUGUGUCACUAGCCCUUGCAGGGACAGGCACCUGCCGCUCAGCUGUACAGAGGCUCAGAGAGCCUGCAGCACCCUGUCCAGUCAGCAUGGCCUGGGGGAGGCUCCAGGACAGGCACAUGGACCAGUGUGGAGGUCCCUCAAGGCAGCAAGUACCUGUCUAACUGUAAACUCCCCUCAUAUAGGAUGUAACGGGUACAAGAAAGGCUCUGGUCACGGGCAGAGGGGGCAUUCUGGGUGCCUGCCCUUGCCGGAUGCUCCCUGUUAAACAAACACCCCCCCCACCCAGUUCUUGCCAUGGGUGGCCCUGCUCUGCGGGAGACAUGAUGCCCUUAGACCAGAGUGCAGGCAGAGGCAAAGCCAGCUGUAUUCCCAUCUGCAGGGGAAGCCAGUGAUCUGUGAGGUGGCCAGGUCUCAAAGAACAGAAGAAUCAAAUGUACAGAGAAAAGCAGAUGGAGAAAUGGGUCCGCGGGUCCGUGGAUUCGCGCAGCAUUGCUGCAGUUAGUGCUGGUCCCCGGAGCCUUCUUCUCCUGAAACCCAAAUGGGCUGCGUGUGGCAAAGAUUUCUUGAAUAUGACACCAAAGCACACACAACGAAAGCAAAAAUAGGUAAAUUGGACUACAUCAGACAAACUUUCUGUGCAUCAAAGGGCACAAUCAAGAGAGUGAAAAGGCAACCCACAGAAUUGGAGAAAAUAUUUACAGAUCUUAUAUCUGAUAAGAGGUUAAUAUCCAAAAUAUAUUAAGAACUCCAACUCAACAACAACAACAAAAUAAAUACCAGAUUUAAAAAUGGGCAAAGGGUCUUCCCUGGUGGCGCAGUGGUUGAGAGUCCGCCUGCCGAUGCAGGGGAUACAGGUUCGUGCCCCGGUCCGGGAAGAUCCCACAUGCCGCGAAGCAACUAGGCCUGCUGCCACAACUACUGAGCUGCGCGCCAAGAGCCCGUGCUCCGCAACAAGAGAAGCUAACACAAUGAGAAGGCUGGCACCGCAACAAAGAGUAGCCCCCGCUCGCCACAACUAAAGAAAGCCCGCGCACAGCAACGAAGACCCAAUGCAGCCAAAAAUAAAUAAAUUUAUAAAAAGACCCAAAAAAACUACCAUUUGAUCCAGCAAUCCCAUCUCUGGGUAUAUACCCAAAAGAACUGAAAGACGGAUCUCAAAGAGAUAUUUGCACACCCAUGUUCAUAGCAGCAUUAUUCAUAAUAGUGAAGAGGUAGAAGCAACCCAAGUGUCCAUCGACGAAUGGAUAAACAAAAUGUGGUGUGUAUAUAUAACGGAAUAUUACUCAGCCUUAAAACAGAAGAAAUUCUGACACAUGCUACAACAUAGAUGACCCUGGAGGACAUUAUGUUGAGUGAAAUAAGUCAGUCACAAAAAGACAAAUACAAAUACAUUCCACUUAUAUGAGGUAUCUAAAGUAAUCAAAUUCAUAAAAAUGGAAAGUAGAGUGGUGGUUGCCAGUGGCUGACGGGAGGGAGGAAUAAGAAGUUGUUUAAUGGGCAGAGAGGUUUAGUUUUGCAAGAUCUGGAUCUGGAGCGCUGUUGCACAACAUUAUGAAUAUACUUACCACUACUGAGCCGUUCACUUAAAGAUGAUUAAGACGGUAAUUUUAUGGUGUGUGUGUGUGUGUGUUACCACAAUUUAAACAAAGACUGGCCAUGUCAAGAGUCUGUGAGGAUGUGCAGGAAAUGAAACCCUCAUCACUGCUGGUGGGGAUGGAAAGUGGUGCAGCUACGUGGAAAAUGGUUUGGAGGCUUCAUAAGAAGUCCAACAUACACCUCGCAUAUGAGCCAUCCAUUCUACUCCUAGAUGUUUCCCCUAGGAGAAAAGGAUUCCAUUUACACCAAAUUCUAGAAAAUGAAACUGACCUAAUAGGUAGUGACAGAAAGCAGAGUUCCCUGGAGAUGGGGUGGGGGAGGGUAAGAGGGCGGAUUCAUUGGGGCCUGCAAGACUGGGGAAGUGCCGGCCACGUUCACUGUCUUGAUUGUGGUAAUUCUUUCACAGAUGUGAAAUUAAACAAUACAUCAAAGCUUAUCAGCAAAUUGUACCCUUUAAAUUUGUGUGGUUU